GACGAACGCUGGCGGCGUGCUUAACACAUGCAAGUCGAACGGAAAGGCCCUGCUUUUGUGGGGUGCUCGAGUGGCGAACGGGUGAGUAACACGUGAGUAACCUGCCCUUGACUUUGGGAUAACUUCAGGAAACUGGGGCUAAUACCGGAUAGGAGCUCCUGCUGCAUGGUGGGGGUUGGAAAGUUUCGGCGGUUGGGGAUGGACUCGCGGCUUAUCAGCUUGUUGGUGGGGUAGUGGCUUACCAAGGCUUUGACGGGUAGCCGGCCUGAGAGGGUGACCGGCCACAUUGGGACUGAGAUACGGCCCAGACUCCUACGGGAGGCAGCAGUGGGGAAUACUGCACAAUGGGCGGAAGCCUGAUGCAGCAACGCCGCGUGCGGGAUGACGGCCUUCGGGUUGUAAACCGCUUUCGCCUGUAACGAAGCGUGAGUGACGGUAAUGGGUAAAGAAGCACCGGCUAACUACGUG
rnacentral:rRNA from 1 species